rnacentral:rRNA from 1 species
GACGAACGCUGGCGGCGUGGAUUAGGCAUGCAAGUCGAACGGUAUCAUCCUUUCGGGGGUGAGAGAGUGGCGAACCGGUGAGUAACACGUAGGUUAUCUACCCUCAAGACGGGGACAACCCAGGGAAACUUGGGCUAAUACCGGAUGUGAGCAACUUUUAGUUGUUUGAAAGGUGGCGUAAGCUGUCGCUUGGGGAUGAGCCUGCGUCCUAUUAGUUAGUUGGUGAGGUAACGGCUCACCUAGGCAAUGAUAGGUAGGCGGCCUUAACGGGUGGUCGCCCACACUGGGAUUGAGAUACGGCCCAGACUCCUACGGGAGGCAGCAGUCGAGAAUAGUCUACAAUGGUCGGAAGACUGAUAGUGCGACGCCGCGUGAACGAUGAAUCCCUUCGGGGUGUAAAGUUCUUUUAUAUGUGAGCAGUGCUUCUUAUAUUAACAGUAUGGGGAGAGAGAUAUUAGCAUAUGAAUAAGCAACGGCUAACUCCGUAGCCAGCAGCCGCGGUAAACUCGU